AAUAUUGGACAAUGGGCGCAAGCCUGAUCCAGCCAUCCCGCGUGAAGGAUUAAGGCCCUUUGGGUUGUAAACUUCUUUUUUGGGGGAAUAAAAACCGGUAUUCAUACUGGCUUGAAGGUACCCCAAGAAUAAGCACCGGCUAACUCCGUGCCAGCAGCCGCGGUAAUACGGAGAGUGCAAACGUUAUCCGGAUUCACUGGGUUUAAAGGGUGCGUAGGUGGCUUUGUAAGUCAGUGGUGAAAUCUCGGAGCUUAACUCCGAAACUGCCAUUGAUACUGCUUAGCUUGAAUCAAGUAGAGGUGGAUGGAAUAUUACAUGUAGCGGUGAAAUGCUUAGAUAUGUAAUAGAACACCGAUUGCGAAGGCAGUUCACUAUGCUUGUAUUGACACUGAGGCACGAAAGCGUGGGGAUCAAAC
rnacentral:rRNA from 1 species